UACGUAGGCAGCGAGCGUUGUUCGGAUUUACUGGGCGUAAAGGGUGUGUAGGCGGUUGCUUAAGUUUGGUGUGAAAUCUCCCGGCUCAACCGGGAGGGUGCGCCGAAUACUGAGUGACUAGAGUGCGGGAGAGGAAAGUGGAAUUCCUGGUGUAGCGGUGAAAUGCGUAGAUAUCAGGAGGAACACCUGUGGUGUAGACAGCUUACUGGACCAUUUCUGACGCUGAGACACGAAAGCGUGGGUAGCAAACAGG
rnacentral:rRNA from 1 species